rnacentral:lncRNA from 1 species
CGGCACCCUCGGCCUUGAGCUCGCCGGCCCGGGCCGCCUCGUCCUCCGCCGCUGCCGCCUCAUCCUCGGGGGCCGCGGGGGCCUCGUCGGCGCGGGGCCAGGCGCGCCCGUUGGGCUGGCCGGAGUAGCCGGAGGAGGACGAGGACAGCGAGGGCGACACGGAGGCGUAGGGGCGGCUGAGCAGGCCGCGGUCCGAGGCCCAGUGGUGGUCGAAGUAGCCGGCGUCGCCGAUCUCGGACUUGACCUUGCGGAUGAUGCUCUGCACGAAGGCGGGGGGGACAGCACCGUGAGAGGCGUUGGCGCGGCGCGCCGCCCCGCCCACGCCGUCCUCCUGCUUGACCAGGCGGGCGCUCCGUUCUGGCUCCCAGCCGCCAGCGAGGGCCGCAGGGUCGGGGGCGACGGGGGCACCGAGCGGCCACGGGGCCCGGCCUCCAUCUCCAGCAGGGCCUGCUGCUGGGCCUGCAUCUCGCGGCGUGCCUGCUCCAGGAUGUUCUUGAUGGCAUCCUCCGAGCAAAAUAAUGGCACAAACCCAAUGCACAUGGGUAGAAGAAUGGAUAAUAAAUAAUGGCAUGGCUAGACAGUGGAAUGGUAUACAGCAGGGAAAAAGGAAACCACCCUGCAAAACUACCAUGAGCAAUAGUGAAGAUGGCACAUGGUCAUGAUGAACAUGUCUUCUAUAAAGCUCCAAAGAAGCAAAAUAAACAAUGUGUGACUCAGUGAGGAAUUUUUUUUUUUUUUUUUUUUUUUUAACAAAUAGCAAACACAAAGGAAUGAAAAACAUUUAGGAUGACGGUAUCUCUGGGAGAGCAGACAGGUUUGGCAUGGAGGAGGCAAAAGCCAGAAGAGUGAAGACCUCGGGAGUUUUCUAAAUCCUGGGUGGGGCUAUAGGCUCCCAGAGGUGUGCUCUCUGUUACACGAAUGAAUGAACAAAUGAACACAUAAACACAUGAGCAGAAGGCCAUGCAGGGAGCUACCAUGGCAGUGUCACCACCCAAGGACAGAUGGAUCUGUGCCUGAGGAAGGAAAACUGCAGAGCAGCCCGUCCUCCUGGGUCCCCCACCCCUGCAUGGGUCAGUCAGGUCAGCCUCUGUGCAGUUUCCAUCCUGGGGGAGUUCCCCACAGACCCAUUAAAAUGUUUAUGGUUUUCCAACUGAAACAGCGAUGGAACAUUAUUUAGUCAUAAAAAGGAACGCAGCACUGAUCCACGCUACAACCUAGAAUAACUCUAAAAACAAGGGAGAGAAGCUGACACAAAAGACCAUCUGAUUUAG